rnacentral:rRNA from 1 species
AUUGAACGCUGGCGGCAGGCUUAACACAUGCAAGUCGAGCGGAGAUGAGGUGCUUGCACCUUAUCUUAGCGGCGGACGGGUGAGUAAUGCUUAGGAAUCUGCCUAUUAGUGGGGGACAACAUUCCGAAAGGAAUGCUAAUACCGCAUACGCCCUACGGGGGAAAGCAGGGGAUCUGCGGACCUUGCGCUAAUAGAUGAGCCUAAGUCGGGUUAGCUAGUUGGUGGGGUAAAGGCCUACCAAGGCGACGAUCUGUAGCGGGUCUGGGAGGAUGAUCCGCCACACUGGGACUGAGACACGGCCCAGACUCCUACGGGAGGCAGCAGUGGGGAAUAUUGGACAAUGGGCGGAAGCCUGAUCCAGCCAUGCCGCGUGUGUGAAGAAGGCCUUUUGGUUGUAAAGCACUUUAAGCGAGGAGGAGGCUACCUGGAUUAAUACUCUAGGAUAGUGGACGUUACUCGCAGAAUAAGCACCGGCUAACUCUGUGCCAGCAGCCGCGGUAAAAC